UCCGUAGGCGGGCGUCUAAGUCAGUGGUGAAAUCUUACAGCUCAACUGUAAAAUUUCCAUUGAUACUGGAUGUCUUGAAUUAGUGUGAAGUGGUUAGAAUGUGUAGUGUAGCGGUGAAAUGCAUAGAUAUUACACAGAAUACCAAUUGCGAAGGCAGAUCACUAACACUAUAUUGACGCUGAGGGACGAAAGCGUGGGGAGCGAACAGGAUUAGAUACCCUGGUAGUCC
rnacentral:rRNA from 1 species